rnacentral:misc_RNA from 1 species
ACAAACUUGGUCAUUUAGAGGAAGUAAAAGUCGUAACAAGGUUUCCGUAGGUGAACCUGCGGAAGGAUCAUUACCGAGUGCGGGCCCCCUCCGGGGUCCAACCUCCCACCCGUGUCUACCGUACCUUGUUGCUUCGGCGGGCCCGCCCUUUGUGGCCGCCGGGGGGCCCCCUUCGCCCCCGGGCCCGUGCCCGCCGGAGAUGCCAGCCUGAACACUGCAUGAAGGUUGCUGUCUGAGCGGAUUGAUCGAAUCGUUUUUAAAACUUUCAACAACGGAUCUCUUGGUUCCGGCAUCGAUGAAGAACGCAGC